rnacentral:rRNA from 1 species
GUGGGGAAUUUUGGACAAUGGGCGAAAGCCUGAUCCAGCAAUGCCGCGUGUGUGAAGAAGGCCUUCGGGUUGUAAAGCACUUUUGGCAGGGAAGAAACAGUGCGUGCUAAUACCAUGCGCGAAUGACGGUACCUGCAGAAUAAGCACCGGCUAACUACGUGCCAGCAGCCGCGGUAAUACGUAGGGUGCAAGCGUUAAUCGGAAUUACUGGGCGUAAAGCGUGCGCAGGCGGCUUUGUAAGACGGAUGUGAAAGCCCCGGGCUCAACCUGGGAAGUGCAUUCGUGACUGCAAGGCUAGAGUGUGUCAGGGGGAGGUGGAAUUCCGCGUGUAGCAGUGAAAUGCGUAGAGAUGCGGAGGAACACCGAUGGCGAAGGCAGCCUCCUGGGAUAACACUGACGCUCAGGCACGAAAGCGUGGGGAGCAAACAGGAUUAGAAACCCGGGUAGUCC